UCAAGGGAUAGUUUAGUUAAAAUAUAAAUUUUGGAGAUUUAAGAUAGAUUAGAAUCUUCCUUUGA
rnacentral:tRNA from 1 species